CUUGGCUUAGAGUCACUGCCGUGCCUCUUGAUAGUGAAGGCGUGCAACGUGUUUUAUGAAAAUAAAUAAUAGUAUCGAUAAUUUAUAUCGAGUUUUGUUUUAAAACUGGAAAAAUUUUAGUAACACAUGAUGUGUUUAUGAAUAGCAUUUGGAAAAAAUGUUUUAUUAUACAUAAAAUUUUCAAGAUUUAAAAAAAUGGAUAAUCAUGAAAGAAUAGUGUCAUAGCCAUUCACCAUGAAAGAAAAAGUCAACUCAUCGAGACAAGCAUGAUUUUUCUAUUUGUGAUUUGUAAAUACUGUAUAUUCAGGGCCGGCGCAAGGCAGGUUCAGCGCGUUGGCCGGAACCCGGCCUCGCGUUUUGAGAGGCCCCGCAGUCUACGAAAACUACCCAAUUAAAAAACACCGAUUUUGAUUAACUUUUUAC
rnacentral:lncRNA from 1 species